rnacentral:tmRNA from 2 species
GGGGCUGAUUCUGGAUUCGACGGGAUUUGCGAAACCCAAGGUGCAUGCCGAGGGGCGGUUGGCCUCGUAAAAAGCCGCAAAAAAUAGUCGCAAACGACGAAAACUACGCUUUAGCAGCUUAAUAACCUGCUUAGAGCCCUCUCUCCCUAGCCUCCGCUCUUAGGACGGGGAUCAAGAGAGGUCAAACCCAAAAGAGAUCGCGUGGAAGCCCUGCCUGGGGUUGAAGCGUUAAAACUUAAUCAGGCUAGUUUGUUAGUGGCGUGUCCGUCCGCAGCUGGCAAGCGAAUGUAAAGACUGACUAAGCAUGUAGUACCGAGGAUGUAGGGAUUUCGGACGCGGGUUCAACUCCCGCCAGCUCCACCA